rnacentral:rRNA from 1 species
AUACGUAGGGUGCAAGCGUUGCCCGGAUUUACUGGGUUUAAAGGGUGCGUAGGCGGUCGUAUCAGUCGGUGUAUGAAAUGCUCAGGCUUAACCUGCAGCGCUGUUACCGAUACGGUACGACUUGAGAGCGGACGAGGUGGCUGGAAUGAGUGGUGUAGCGGUGAAAUGCGUAGAGAUCACUCAGAACACCAAUUGCGAAGGCAAGUCACUAGGCCGAUUCUGACGCUCAGGCACGAAAGCAUGGGGAGC